rnacentral:rRNA from 1 species
AAUCAACGCUGGCGGCGUGCCUCAGACAUGCAAGUCGAACGAUUAAAGCUCUCCUCGGAGAGUGUAUAGAGUGGCGCACGGGUGAGUAACACGUAAGUAAUCUACCUUUGAGUGGGGAAUAACGUCUGGAAACGGACGCUAAUACCGCAUAAUGCAGCGGCAUCGCAAGAUGACAGUUGUUAAAGAUUUAUCGCUUGAAGAGGAGCUUGCGGCAGAUUAGCUAGUUGGUAAGGUAAUGGCUUACCAAGGCUACGAUCUGUAACCGGUCUAAGAGGACGGUCGGUCACACUGACACUGAAUAACGGGUCAGACUCCUACGGGAGGCAGCAGUCGGGAAUUUUGGGCAAUGGGCGAAAGCCUGACCCAGCAACGCCGCGUGAAGGAUGAAGUAUUUC